GCGAAGCGCGCAACAUCACGCCAUUUCAUUGCUACUACAUAGCAGGAGCCGGAUCUUCGCGCAUGGAUGUUACAGUGGUAACCGUGCCGCUACAGAUUGGGCCGUGACUGUAAUGGAUUGUUCUCACCACAGAACGUUGAAGAGCGCAUGAGUGAUUCUGGACGCAUUUCAAGAGUUCCGGCGGGACACAUGCAGUUUCACAAUCUGCUUGCCGUUGUAUCAGCUUUUCUGGGCGCUGCUUCUAUCGUUGUUGCUGCCCCAAUUCCAUAUCUGGCAGAACCGAUAGGAGCAAUGCCUGGUGCAGUCCUGCACAGUGUUGGGUCAUUCCUGGACCAGCUUAUGGGAAGCAUUUCGGGAAUUCCGAGUUACCUCUACAACGGCGCGUACAAUACUGGCGCUUACAAUAUUGCCGGGUAGUGCAAGACAACGUGCUGCACACAAUAGAGAGUAUUAGUACAUCGUACGCUAUCGCCUUUGCGUGCGUAAAGGGAUAGCGUUGAUGGUUCUGCGCACGCCCAUAACAGAAAGAGAGCUUCGCGCAGUGCCCAGAACCACCAACGCUAUCUCUUACGUACGCUAUAGCAUUUGCGUGCGGUCUACUAAAACUCUCUAAUGGCUGAAAGGGGAUGAAUAAAAUGUUCGAUGGUAUUAACAGCGUGUGCUGGAACAUGAAUAAACAUUUUGUCAUUCGCCGAUAGGGGACUACGCUGUGCACACUACUGCGUAUAAAUAAAUUCCAACUAGUUAUUUGUUUUACGUUUCAUGUCUAAAACUGCAAAAGUGUACAGCUAUAGCCUAUUUUUAUAUAUAGGCUAUAUACAGGGUGUCUUUUUUUAGGUGAUACAGAUUUUUCAUUA